rnacentral:rRNA from 1 species
UACGUAGGGUGCAAGCGUUGUCCGGAAUUAUUGGGCGUAAAGAGCUCGUAGGCGGUUUGUCGCGUCUGCUGUGAAAACGCGAGGCUCAACCUCGCGCCUGCAGUGGGUACGGGCAGACUAGAGUGCGGUAGGGGAGAUUGGAAUUCCUGGUGUAGCGGUGGAAUGCGCAGAUAUCAGGAGGAACACCGAUGGCGAAGGCAGAUCUCUGGGCCGGUACUGACGCUGAGGAGCGAAAGCGUGGGUAGCAAACAGG